rnacentral:rRNA from 1 species
UCGGGAAUUUUGGGCAAUGGGCGAAAGCCUGACCCAGCAACGCCGCGUGAGGGAUGAAGUAUUUCGGUAUGUAAACCUCGAAAGAAUGGGAAGAAUAAAUGACGGUACCAUUUAUAAGCUCCGGCUAACUACGUGCCAGCAGCCGCGGUAAUACGUAGGGAGCAAGCGUUGUUCGGCUUUACUGGGCGUAAAGGGAGCGUAGGCGGCGCGGUAAGUCACUUGUGAAAUCUCUGAGCUUAACUCAGAACGGCCAAGUGAUACUGCUGUGCUAGAGUGCGGAAGAGNCAACCGGAAUUAUUGGUGUAGAGGUGAAAUGCGUAGAUAUCAAGAGGAACACCUGAGGCGAAGGCGGGUUGCUGGGCCGACACUGACGCUGAUGCGCGAAAGCCUGGGGAGCAAACG